AGGAAUACAAAGCUGUAAAGACGUCCAGCGUCGUUUCAGAGUCAAACUGUAAUACGGCAGUAAGCAAGGACAUCUAGUCCGGUGGACAGCCACUAGAGGCAGUCUAAGUACUGCAAUUUAAAUUGAGCUAUUUCUCUAAAACUGCAAUGAUUUAAAUUGCAGGACAAAGGGGGGCAGGGACACUGCACCCAGACCACUUCAACAAGAUUAAAU